rnacentral:rRNA from 1 species
AUUGAACGCUGGCGGCAGGCCUAACACAUGCAAGUCGAACGGUAACAGAAAGCAGCUUGCUGCUUUGCUGACGAGUGGCGGACGGGUGAGUAAUGUCUGGGAAACUGCCUGAUGGAGGGGGAUAACUACUGGAAACGGUAGCUAAUACCGCAUAACGUCGCAAGACCAAAGAGGGGGACCUUCGGGCCUCUUGCCAUCGGAUGUGCCCAGAUGGGAUUAGCUAGUAGGUGGGGUAACGGCUCACCUAGGCGACGAUCCCUAGCUGGUCUGAGAGGAUGACCAGCCACACUGGAACUGAGACACGGUCCAGACUCCUACGGGAGGCAGCAGUGGGGAAUAUUGCACAAUGGGCGCAAGCCUGAUGCAGCCAUGCCGCGUGUAUGAAGAAGGCCUUCGGGUUGUAAAGUACUUUCAGCGGGGAGGAAGGGAGUAAAGUUAAUACCUUUGCGCAUUGACGUUACCCGCAGAAGAAGCACCGGCUAACUCCGUG